AACUCCCUGAUCCCAAUCACGCCCACACGUUUUUUAUCUACUACUUCGCCGUCGAUCAGCCUUGUGCGACAGGAUAGCCCGGGUCACGGGAAAACACCAAUCCACCGAAAAAAUAACGCAAGGGCGAGUGAAAAAACAAAAGAACGGAUGCAUCCCGUGUCGACGCAACGCCUGGCGCCCGUCCCCAACGCCAACCACCAGCGCGCGCUUCUCCCGCCGUCUCCUCUGCUGCUUCGGCCACGGACCAGCACCAGGUCCUCGGCGUCCGCCAGAUCGGCGCCGCGCGCCGUGUCGCCCGCGACCCCAACCACCGCAGCCACCAACGACCCGGACGCCGGCGCGCAGCCAGAUAAGUGGGAGGAGUUCGCGGCGCGGGUGUCCGGCGAGUGGGACGGCUUCGGCGCGGACUUCACGGUGGCCGGCGACCCGGUGGAGCUGCCGGCCAACGUGGUCCCGGACGCGUACCGUGAGUGGGGGGUCCAGGUGUUCGACUGGCAGACGCAGUGCCCCACCCUGGCCGACCCCGCCGCGCCGGGCGCGCUCCACUAUCGCCUCGUCCGCCUCCUCCCCACCGUCGGCUGCGAGGCCGACGCCGCCACCGUGCACACCUCCCACCAGCGCCACGUCUCCUCCGCCACCGCCUUCGCCUACGGCGGCGCCGGGGGCUCCUACGUGGCCACGUGGCCCAAGGGCCCCUCGGCCGUGCUCGAGGUGGAGCACUGCAUCUGCCACCCGGACAACGCGGAGGUGCGGGUCAGGCUGGUGCAGACGGUGGCGCUGGCCAAGGACGCGGCGCGGCUGCGCGGCGUCAAGGUGUUCUCCGAGCAGUGGUACGGCCCGUACCGCAACGGCGACCAGCUCGGCGGCUGCGCGCUCCGCGAGUCCGCCUUCGCCGCCGGGGAGAGGCUCCCCGCGUCCGAGGUGGUCGGGCAGUGGGAGAGCGCCGCCAGGUUCUCCGGCGCGCUGGACCCCGUGACGGGCAAGUUCGCGGGGCUGGAGCCGGACCACGAGCCGCGGAGGACGGCGAGGGACGGUGCCGGCGUCGUGACGCUGCUGCCGAAGCAGCUGUGGAGCUCGCUCAAGGUGAGCGGCGGCGACGGCGACGGCGACGACGGCGACGUGGUGUGCGAGGUCGGGUGGCUGCUGGGCCACGGCAGCGCGGUCACGUCGACGUGCGUCCUGUCCAGAGACGGAGACGUCAAGGAGAUAGCUGCCGCGCAGGAGACCCGGGUGUCGGAGGCCACCUGAACAGAGCCAAGAACUCUUCAGAAAAGUCUUCUUCCUCCUCCUGCUGGCGGUCCGCCACGUUUUCGUUGACCUUUGGACAGUGGUGGUGCGAAGGAUGUCGGCCUCAUGUCCGAUUCCCAUCCAAAUGGUGUGUAUAGCGGCAUCGGCCGGCCUGUGGAGGUUUGAUAUUCCUGAUCUACAACUUUUUUCAUCGGCGAUGGUUACUGCACCGAUCCUUUGGGUCCUUAGCAUGACAUUUUCCGAUGUCUACAACAAGGUCUGUCCAGCAAUGACGGCAGCGCCUUUGGCUCACUCCGGUGCUUGUAAUCGUCGCUAGGUGGCCAAUGAAACUGAUUGUAAUUUUUAUUGCCUCUAGUGUUCUAAUGACUGACAUGAUUGAUUAUAAAUAGAUCAUAAGAAAAAUGAGAUGCAGAUA